rnacentral:rRNA from 1 species
CAAGUCGAGGGGCAGCAUGAACUUAGCUUGCUAAGUUUGAUGGCGACCGGCGCACGGGUGAGUAACACGUAUCCAACCUGCCGAUGACUCGGGGAUAGCCUUUCGAAAGAAAGAUUAAUACCCGAUGGCAUAGUUCUUCCGCAUGGUGGAACUAUUAAAGAAUUUCGGUCAUCGAUGGGGAUGCGUUCCAUUAGGUUGUUGGCGGGGUAACGGCCCACCAAACCGACGAUGGAUAGGGGUUCUGAGAGGAAGGUCCCCACAUUGGGACUGAGACACGGCCCAAACUCC